CCUACGGGUGGCAGCAGUGAGGAAUAUUGGUCAAUGGACGAGAGUCUGAACCAGCCAAGUAGCGUGAAGGAUGACUGCCCUAUGGGUUGUAAACUUCUUUUAUAUGGGAAUAAAAUGUUCCACGUGUGGGAUUUUGUAUGUACCAUAUGGAUAAGGAUCGGCUAACUCCGUGCCAGCAGCCGCGGUACUACGGAGGAUCCGAGCGUUAUCCGGAUUUAUUGGGUUUAAAGGGAGCGUAGGUGGAUUGUUAAGUCAGUUGUGAAAGUUUGCGGCUCAACCGUAAAAUUGCAGUUGAAACUGGCAGUCUUGAGUUCAGUAGAGGUGGGAGGAAUUCGUGGUGUAGCGGUGAAAUGCUUAGAUAUCACGAAGAACUCCGAUUGCGAAGGCAGUUCACUGGACUGCAACUGACACUGAGGCUCGAAAGUGUGGGUAUCAAACAGGAUUAGAUACCCGAGUAGUC
rnacentral:rRNA from 1 species